rnacentral:tRNA from 2 species
GCCGGCUUAGCUCAGUUGGUAGAGCAGUUGAUUUGUAAUCAUCAGGCCAGGGGUUCGAAUCCUCUAGCCGGCA